GCAUUCUUUUAAAGUAAUCUCUACACCCAAUGUGGGGCUCGAACUCACGACCCUGAGAUCAAGAUUAUCAGUUGCUCUACCAACUGAGAGCCAGCCAGUUGUUCCUGUCCGUAGAUUCUGGUCAGCCCCUAGCUCUGAGUUCAUGAUAGGACUCUCCAUUCCCAGCCGCAGAGGCUGUAGGAAGGCAGGGCCUGGCCUUGGCUUCCUUCCUGACAUUGUCACCCUACCUGCCCCUAACCCUGGCUUAGGACUGCUGAAAGGGCGGCCUGGGUGAGACGCAUGGUUGGCUGGAGGAUGACAGGCAGCCCCACUGUUUGCUCAGAAGGGUGGACCAGCGAGGUGGAUCAAGAAUCAGGCGAGCCUCUCUGGACCCCACCUGGGCCCCUAGGCAUGUCACCUACACACAGGAGGGAAGAUAGCAGCCCCGCCCCACUGCUCUGCUCCUUGGCCCCCACCGGUCUUCCUUCUGGCCCCAGAAGCCCUCCUGAGCUCCCCUGCACCUGCCAUAUCCUUGAAGCCCCCUCCUCCUCCUCCUGCCCCCCUGCCUUUGUGCAGUCAGUCCUGAGAGCUGCAGGUGAAACACCUUCCGGGUACCGAGUGAAGACACUACCUUUAGGAACACCCACGCUCACUCACCCAUCAGCCAUCCAUACCCAGUGCCACCUCCUCCAGGAAGCCUCUCCCAAAUGUUCCCGCCCUCUGUAAGGAGCUCUCUCUCCUCAGGUCAGCCAUCUUGGCCUCCAGUCCCGUGGUGGGUCUGGCUUCCUAAGGCAAAGGCUAGUCUCUGGUCUUCUGCUUGUGCCCUGCAGCACUUAGCACAGAGGAUGCUCAACUGCCCAGCCCGCAUUUGGUCACGUGAGGGCCAUGACCCCUCUGUACCCCAUCCUCUGGUGGGUUCCCCUCAGAUUUGGGAGGGGCCGCACAGCAUCUUCUCCACCUCAUCUGGGGUUGGCAGUUGGGUGUCCAGCUCUUGGCCUGGGGGGGAUGCUCGUGCCGUGGCUGGGCAGCCCUGCCCCUUAGGAAGCAAGUCCUUUCAUCGGGCUGAGAGUUGUCUGCAGCCUUCACCCCGGGGCUGGCUCAGCUGAGAAGCCCACGCAGGUGCCUCCGGCCCCAUGGCUGCUCUGCAGCUCCCACAGAGGGCAGUGCUCACCGACCGCCCACGAGGUCUCCUUGGCUGCUUUGAGGGGACAGAAGUGAGCUGCCCAGGGAAUGGUCCCCAUGGGAAGUUGGGCCCCGGUCCUGGUCUCUCUCCUUCCUCCUGCCAUCUGCCCCUCCUACUUCUGUCCCCUGAUGUGCCUCAGUCUGGGCUCCUUCCCUAGCUCCAGCCUCACCUCUGGCAGAUCACUGGCCCCUGAAAUGCUUUCCAGCUCCGAGGAAGGCUCCAGGAGGCUGAUGGACCUCAUGACCCCUCGGAGGUUGAUACGAGGCCGUGGCCCAGGCUCCUCUUUCAGGGCUGACUGGCUCUCCUCCAAACCCAUAGCCUUCACCUCCCCA